AGCGAACGCUGGCGGCAGGCCUAACACAUGCAAGUCGAACGAACUCUUCGGAGUUAGUGGCGGACGGGUGAGUAACACGUGGGAACGUGCCUUUAGGUUCGGAAUAACUCAGGGAAACUUGUGCUAAUACCGAAUGUGCCCUUCGGGGGAAAGAUUUACUACUAAUGGAUGAGCCUGCGUUAGAUUAGCUAGUUGGUGGGGUAAUGGCUCACCAAGGCUCCGAUCUAUAGCCGGUCUGAGAGGACGAUCGGCCACACUGGGACUGAGACACGGCCCAGACUCCUACGGGAGGCAGCAGUGGGGAAUAUUGGGCAAUGGGCGCAAGCCUGACCCAGCCAUGCCGCGUGAGUGAUGAAGGCCUUAGGGUUGUAAAGCUCUUUUAGUAGUGAAGAUGAUGACAGUAGCUACAGAAAAAGCCCCGGCUAACUUCGUGCCAGCAGCCGCAGUAACAC
rnacentral:rRNA from 1 species